CAGAAAUCCCACUAAUCGAAUAACAACUACAUUUAUUAAUUAACAUUAUAUCAAAUCAAUUUUUGCUUAUGCCAACGAACGAACCUUUUUCUGUUCAAAUAUUCAACAAUUCAAAAAUUUUCCGAAGAAAUGAUUUCAUCUCGUCGUCUUUUUUGUCCUCUGAUGGAGAAACAAACUUAAAUCUCAAAUUUUUGCAUCGUCAUCACCAAUAUUAUUCCUUAUUUUAAUUAUCAAAUAGUUCAAUAUUUUUGUAUUCUCCUUGGAAAUUUACUGAGUUUAAAACAAAUGGAAUUUCCUCUUCAUCGUCGUCCUCUUCGUGAUUUUUCCAUCGUGAUCACCAAUAUUAUUCCUUGUUUCAAUCAUCAUCGAAGAAACAGUUUUUGUAUUUUCCUUUGAGAUUUGUCAAGUUAAGAUGAAAUGGAGUUUCCUCCUCGUCAUUGUCGUCUUCGUGAAGAAAAGAGAAACCUAAAUCUCAAAUUUUUGCAUCAUCAUCACCAAUAUUAUUCCUUAUUUUAAUUAUCAAAUAGUUCAAUAUUUUUGUAUUCUCCUUGGAAAUUUACUGAGUUUAAAACAAAUGGAAUUUCCUCUUCAUCGUCGUCCUCUUCGUGAUUUUUCCAUCGUGAUCACCAAUAUUAUUCCUUGUUUCAAUCAUCAUCGAAGAAACAGUUUUUGUAUUUUCCUUUGAGAUUUGUCAAGUUAAGAUGAAAUGGAGUUUUCUCCUCAUCAUUGUCGUCUUCGUGAAGAAAAGAGAAACCUAAAUCUCAAAUUUUUGCAUCGUCAUCACCAAUAUUAUUCCUUAUUUUAAUUAUCAAAUAGUUCAAUAUUUUUGUAUUCUCCUUGGAAAUUUACUGAGUUUAAAACAAAUGGAAUUUCCUCUUCAUCGUCGUCCUCUUCGUGAUUUUUCCAUCGUGAUCACCAAUAUUAUUCCUUGUUUCAAUCAUCAUCGAAGAAACAGUUUUUGUAUUUUCCUUUGAGAUUUGUCAAGUUAAGAUGAAAUGGAGUUUUCUCCUCAUCAUUGUCGUCUUCGUGAAGAAAAGAGAAACCUAAAUCUCAAAUUUUUGCAUCGUCAUCACCAAUAUUAUUCCUUAUUUUAAUUAUCAAAUAGUUCAAUAUUUUUGUAUUCUCCUUGGAAAUUUACUGAGUUUAAAACAAAUGGAAUUUCCUCUUCAUCGUCGUCCUCUUCGUGAUUUUUCCAUCGUGAUCAAUAUUAUUCCUUGUUUCAAUCAUCAUCGAAGAAACAGUUUUUGUAUUUUUCUUUAAGAUUUGUCAAGUUAAGAUAAAAUGAAGUUUCCUCCUCAUCAUUGUCGUCUUCGUGAAGAAAAGAGAAACCUAAAUCUCAAAUUUUUUCAUCGGCAUAUUUUCCUUUGACAUUUGUCAAGUUAAGAUAAAAUGGAGUUUCCUCCUCGUCGUCAUCGUCUUCGUGAAGGAGUGUCAAACUUGAAUUUUAAAUUUUUCAGAUUUCGGAUUGCACCCCUCCGCCACUGCUCAUUCCUCAGGAUUUCUUUAGAAAUUUGGCAAGGAUACUCUUUAAAACUUGUGUCAUGUGUGAAGAAAUAUAUACAAAAAUGAUUUGCAAUAAAAACCAGUCGUAAUCAAAUUUCAAAAGUUUUAGUAAAAAUUAUAUAAUGGUCGUAUAAGAUUGGUUAAGGUCUUCCAUCCCAUACUCAGUAAGUAAGCUAAAUGUGAUGAGUCAUGCUAGAACAUAAAGGACAAAUAUUUUGGAAAAGAAAUCAAAAAGGGUAAGGG